GCCACAACAGUGAGAGGUCCACGUACCGCAAAAAAAAAAAAAAAAAAAAAAAUGUCCAGCUAGAUUGCCGAGCACUGGGUUUGAGUAACAGGUGAGGUCGUAAAGUGAAAAAAAAAAAGGAGUCAGGAAGUUAGGCACCAGGAGGAUGAGAAACAGGCUGGAAAGCGUGAUGGGCAAGGAGGUGCCAGGGCAAGUGGUUCGAGAUGGAAACGGCAUUGUGCUAAGGGAUGCAUGGCCGGCCCAAAGCGGCCAGAAUAGAACAUUGCCUUCUGCCGUUCUCAAGCCUGGGAGAGCUAGGAGGGUGCACGUGAUGAUGCGGGAGCUGAGAAAAUAGGCAGGUGUUUCCUGAGCUCCAGGGAUGACGUCUGAGCAGGCUGAGCUGGGAAAGGGCAAAUCCAAUUCUGUAAUUGUUGGCGCAUCAAUUCUGGUGACGGUCCCAGAAGGGUGAUGCCAAGAGCCCGUGGAGGAGGGAUGCCCGGCUGACAUCAUCUGCUAUUUCUGGACCAAUUCACAGCUUCCUCCAGUGAGAACUUCCUUCAGCACGUAAAUCACCCUGGUCUUCUCAUGACCGCCUCAUUUUCCCGAGAAAACAGAGGGAACCCACGCACGUGGGCAUCCUCUGGAGAGGGCGCUGGGUGUGGAGAGAAGAGUGUGAUCCUGAAGUCGCGCAGACACGGGUUCAAAUCUCGCCUCUGCCCCUUGUUGGCUGACGGGCUUUGGAGAAUACGUUUCCAGUGAUCAAUUGGUGGAAGCUUCCAGAAGGAGAUGUAGCCUCCCUUUCUAGCCCCUUCCUGGGCUGUGCGAAUGCCGUGAAUACUAAUGGAAACAGAUGGCUCCCUUCCACGCCACCGCCAAGAGGAGGGAUGGCUAGGGCAAAAUUCCCCUGCAACAGAGAGGAGCCACCAUGCUGACUCUAGCUAUCUUUCCAUAGCCUUUGGCCAGGCAGAGAAGAGCCCUGGGGAUGGACAGCCCUGGGCAAGAUUGACAAAGGCUCAGAGGCUCCAGGGGAUCUGCUUGGGACUCGGUGGGUUUUCCAUGGGGUUAUGCUGAACCAGUAGAAGCAAAUUCUUCUCCAGCAGUGCCCCAAACCUGUAGGUUCCUGGGGACCACUCAGCUGUUGGGGGAGGAGGGGAGCCGUGGUGGGAUGAGGCCCCUGAAAGUGUGGUUCCAAUUCUGUUACUGGGGAACUUUGGGCAAAUUCCUUCUAUUUUCAUAGCCUCAUUCAACUCUUCAGUAAGAUGAGAGGAAUGGACCAGAUUGAGGGUUUACAAAGAGGGUUCCUUAGAAGUCUAUUCCCGUAAGAUGUUGAGGGGAAAAGAAGUUUGGAAGAAUGUGCUUUCCAUCCUCCAAUAUACAUUAUAAACUCUGUAAAGCUCUGUAAGCACAGAAACCUGUUCAACUUUGACCGGGCGUUUCCCAAACAGGCCCUGCUUUCUCAAACGGCCCAUUUUCAUCCCAAGGAAGGCAUGAGCCCUGUGACAUAGUUUGGAAAACAGUGGACUAAACGCACUUCUGCAAAAUUCCCUCCAGUCCUGAAGGUCUUGUUUGUUUCUCUAAGGAAAGUGGGAGGGGUGGGGAGGAGAGAGAAAAUGACAUUGAAAGCUCUUCCCAUGUGUCAUCUCAUGUGACCACCCUCCGCUCCACCAGCUACAUCAUGGUGUGGGUGUGAGUUCCCGCACUGGCAGAUGAGGGCAGCGAGGCCUGCACUGAUUUCAGGGAGAAGGGGAAGCUUCCUCCCAGCCUGCUGCAUGCAGGAAGGUGAGAAAAUCCUGCUUGGAGGUGUGGCUUGGAGGGCAAGGCUCCCCUUCCAGCAGUCUCAGACUCUCUCUAGCCUCCACCCGCCCCAUUCAGGGUUGCCCCCUGCUCUACCCUUUUCUUGGGGGAAGUCUUUGGACAGCAUUAUGGGCUGAGUACAAGGAAAGCCAAGGGCUGGGGUAAGCCACCUACAUAUAACUGACAAAGCUAACUCCCAAGAUUUCAAUCCACAUAGGGCGGGCCCUGAACAGAAGCAUAAAGCCGCCAGUGUGGGUCUGUGUGAUGUAGUGAAAAGAAACUGAACUUUGGAGCUAAACAGACCAGGGGUCAAAUCCUGCCACGAAGACCCUUAACUAACCCUACUUAACUGAUGUCUAAAUGAACUACCGCUAUUCCCUCUGGAAAACCUGCCGACGACAGCCGGUGGCACUUGGGAUGCCUGGCUGUCAGACAACUCCUUUCUUGUUUGCCUGUGUUGUGUGUGUUUCCAAACCUGUUUAUGUCAGUUGCGCUUGUCACUGUAAACAGAUAAUUGAAUCAAGUGUAAACCAAGCCAAUGAAAUACAAGUGGAGAAAGGAGUUAUGCUUUUAUGGUAAUUAAUUUAAUGCUUUGGGAAGGAUGCUAAAAAGUUGCUGUUGAGUUAUGUGUGGCCGAGACUCUACAAGAUUUGAAGAAUCAACCCCAUACAAGGAGGUCUGUGUACUUUGAUUAGUCUUGCAGGGAAUCAAAACCAGAAAUCUCUUAGGUGAUAUUUAUGUGGUCUCCAUUAUGUGUGAUCCCAGGAAGCCAAUUCACCUUUCUGAACUUUGUUUUUCUUGGCUUUAAAAGAAAUAAAAGGAAUCCAAAUCGGAAAAGAAGUAAAACCGUCACUGUUUGCAG